ACGAGGACUGAUCAAGGCGGUGGUGCUGUUUUGGCAACGUAAGCUCUGUUAACAAAAGGUUGGUUUUGAUGAAAGAAACUUGCAAAAAAGAAAGCUCACCUCCUCCUGUGCUGCAUUGCUCAUUCAAGUUUGUUCCUCGGAUCGGUUUCUCUCAAGCAGGCCAACGGAAUGGAGGUUGUAGUCCGUCGACUGGGAUGAUCGUUGUUCUUGGUAGCUCCCUCGGUGAGACAAACAAAAGUUUUAGUUCUUUACACCUUCUAGCAGCCUGAGCGCAACCACGUGUCCGCGCCACUUGUCAAGAGCACAACCACAUUAUACUUGCUCAAAUCGCCUGAGAGAACAAGUUUUAGCAUUGCAAGAAAGAAAGAAAUAAAGAUGGGAUCCUCACCAGCGGUUUCCAAUGCCGUGUUCAAGGAGAUUUCUCGCAGAGCCGUCCCCAUCUCCCUCCACAAUCCAGCUCGUGAUCUUGCGCCUCUCAUCGAACGCAUCGCCAAGGCCAAGGUGGUGAUGCUCGGCGAGGCCACGCACGGGACGCGCGAGUUCUACGAGUGGCGUCGCAUCAUCUCCGAGAUCCUCAUUGCCAACCACGGCUUCACCACCCUCAGCAUCGAAGGCGACUGGCCACCGUGCCAAGAAGUCAACCGCUUCAUCACCAAAAAGGUGAGUUCUUCCGCUAGUGCCGAGGAGCUCCUUGCAAAGUCAUUCAGGCGAUGGCCGACUUGGAUGUGGGCCAACGACGAGUUCCGGGCGAUGGUGGAGUGGAUGAAGGA
rnacentral:lncRNA from 1 species